GAGACAUGGUCAUUCUGGUGGGACAGGCAAGAACAAUUAGAUCCCAGUGCUAUAGGACCAACCUAAAUGUUAUCAGCUGCCUAGGGCCAAUCAGGCCCCGCAACGAGCAGCUAAAACCUGCGUGAUGAUGACCAGCCAGAUCUAUGUCUCAGGAAGGAAUCAAACAAAGCUCCCUGAGAUGCCACUGUAUAGGGCACUAGAUAAUUCCUCGGAGCCCAGUGUUACUCCUGUCUUUCUAUAGCAACCUUGGGAUAAGCGGCUGCAGAAGAUGAGCUGAAUAAAGCUGACUUUGCGAUGUACUAGCGGAGUCACUGCCCUGUGGAGGAAGGCUGGCUGCAAUGGGUGUGCUGCAUCUUGGUGAGCAAAUGUUACCUUGCAAAGUUGGUUAAUAAAAUACAGAAACACA